rnacentral:lncRNA from 1 species
ACGCCACCUGCUGGAGAAGACAGAUUUUGGGCCCAUUUAUCCCUUUUCAACACAGUAUUUGUGUGCACCGACAGCAAGUCGGGCAAGUUCUGCUGUUUCUAGGAAAUGCGCCUCCAGCUAGAUUUUUUUUAACAUUGGCUACUUAACCAGACGGCCUGACGUCACCACUACUCACCAAAUCUUUCCCCCAGUGGACCCAUGUUCUGAACAUGGCUGACCACUUAUCAACACCUGCCCCAAACUUUGGGCAACAGGCGAUGGGGAGACACAUUAUGGGCAAGCUCCUGUACAGAUUGCAGCGGGCCAUGCAACGCCUUCCCCUGGAUCUUGAUUACUUACAGUUCGUGUGCACCAUUGAGAUGAUAUUUAUCAGCUCACUAGCAAAUCAAGUAGACUUGCCUCAAGAGGUGUUCAGGGUCUCUCCAAUCUGUAUAGUCUAGUCAAUAUUGAAAUGGAAGAAGGAAAUGCCCCAUGUUGAUGAGUUGGAUGGCGAAAUGGGACGUCUUAAACUGACUGUUUCGGAACAGCACCUUCGACAGCUGAUUGAAAUGGAUCUGCCUCUACCUUGCAUCGCCAAACUGCUUGUCAUCUCAACACAAACUGACCAACACAGAAUGCAGGAAUACAGUAUCGUGGUGAGCGGAACAUACAGCCAAAUGAUAGACGAGGAGCUGGACAAUCUGGUGGCCACAAUCAAGACAAGUUCACCACAAUUAGGAUGGUGAGAGAACGUCUGAAAGCACUGGGUCAUCGAGUCCAGUGGACCCGAGUGUGGGACUCAGUGCUUCUUGUAGAUGCUGCAGGAAUACAUGAAAGAAUGGCAGGACUUGGAUGUGUUGUCAGAAGAACAUACUCUGUUCAGGGUCCUCUUUCCCUCAUACAUGUGGACACCAACCACAAGAUGAUCAGGUUUGAACAGUUAUGGCGGGACUUGUGGAUGGCCAUGUCAAACAUCUUUGACAGGUUAAGGGAGCCCUCAUCUUCCAAACUGUGUAGGACAUUGUAAAGCAGCCUUCACUUAUUCUGUGUGCACUAUGUAUUCCUCCCAUACCUCCAAGCAGACCUAGACACCUUAACCAAUGGAUGGGAUAAACAUUCUCUGCACACCGAGCAAAAUCUGACCCCCUACCAGCUAUGGGAAAUGGGACAAGCAGAGAAUCCUGUCACCUUCCCUGGCAAUGUGGAAGUAAAGAUUUAAAGGAGCCACUAUGAAAAUGUAAUUAAGUCUUAUCUAAACAUUUUUUUGGGUUGUUUGUAAAUGAACAUGAUCUUCCAUGUUCAGGAUUUAAACAACUUGGUUGGGGACGAUGCCUGCCUGUGGGAGGAGCAUGGCCAGGGAAUUUUGGUCCCACCAGUGGAGUGCCCACUGACAGAGCAGGAUAUGACACUGCUCUGAUGGAGCCAUGACCCAAACUCACCAUCAAGACUAUGGACAAGAUAUUUACGCAUCUGUUUUGAACUAUGUGCUGCUACUUAUGGCUGAAUGAUCCUUAUACCUCUGCUGAUACUGUCUCAAGGAAUAGUAACAGUCUAGUCCAGUAAUUCUAAAAGGC